rnacentral:misc_RNA from 1 species
GGCUGUUCAAGCUCAAUACCCAUCUAAUGUUCACCUCUUUAACAGAGCUGUGCAAGAACGAAAGAACCCAAUUGGCAACGAUGAAUAUUCGUUGCAACCUCAACCUGCUGGAGGAUCAAUUCUUGAUCACACACAAAUGCGAUUCAAUCCAGGAGCUGGCUCUUAUCAUCAUCCGCCGUGUAAGAGAAGAAGAGAAGUUAGCACCACCACUGCAAUGAAUCCGUCAAUGCAAUCUCAGCCGCAGCUGAUUGAUCUCACUCAGCUUCAUACAAAUCCAAAUGUUGUCUCCACCGGCCUCCGUUUAGCUUCUGGAGAACAGUUACAACACCAUCAAAAGCAGCAACAACAAAACCAACACUCUCUUUCUCCUCAAUCUUCUCAAUCAUCAGCUUUCUAUUCCAUAUUCACAGAAGACAUGUCUACUAUUAUCAAACAACACCGCGAUGAAAUUGAACAAUUCCUCCAUGUUCAGAGAGAACAAUUAAGACGGACAUUAGAGGAUAAAAGGCGAGCACACUAUCGUGCUCUGAUUGGAACCGCCGAGGAAUCAAUGGCACGGCAGCUGAAGGAAAAGGAAGCCGAGGUUGGAAAAGCGUUUCGGCGCAACGCCGAGCUAGAGGCGCGUGCAGCGCAGCUCAGUGCAGAGGCGCAAGCCUGGCAGGCAAGGGCUAGAGCGGAGGAAUUCACCGCAGCAACGCUACAGGCACAGCUGCAGCAGGCGAUGAUGAACGGCGGAGGGUGCAAUGCGAACCUCCCGGACGGAGACAUCGCCGGCGCCGGAGAAGCUGAGGAUGCUGAAUCAGCUUACAUCGAUCCAGACCGAGUGGUGGAGACAACCGGUCCGAGUUGCAAGGCAUGCCGGAAGCGAGUAGCGUCGGUGGUGCUUUUGCCGUGCCGGCAUUUGUGUGUGUGCACAGAUUGUGACGCUGUGGUACAAGCAUGUCCACUCUGUCUCUCCAUUAGAAGCUCAAGUGUUGAAGUCUUCCUCUGUUAGAAAAGCCCAAUCUUUGGCCCAUUUAUUUAAAGCCCGGGCCCAAAUAUCAUGAACUAAGUAAAAGAUUUUCUAACUAUUGUAUUCAUGCUACUUUUAAGUUUUAAAGUAAAAAAAAAUGAAUAUAAAAAGAAUUGAUUAAAAAAAUUAAAAAAUUACAUAUCUCUUUAUUCAAAAGCUACUUCUUUUUCUUUUGGCUUCAUAGUCAAGACACAAAAUCUUUAUUAUUUUUUGGGGAGAGGUG